rnacentral:rRNA from 1 species
CCUACGGGAGGCAGCAGUGGGGAAUUUUGGACAAUGGGCGAAAGCCUGAUCCAGCAAUGCCGCGUGAGUGAAGAAGGCCUUCGGGUUGUAAAGCUCUUUUGUCAGGGAAGAAACGGUGAAAGCUAAUAUCUUUUGCUAAUGACGGUACCUGAAGAAUAAGCACCGGCUAACUACGUGCCAGCAGCCGCGGUAAUACGUAGGGUGCAAGCGUUAAUCGGAAUUACUGGGCGUAAAGCGUGCGCAGGCGGUUUUGUAAGUCUGAUGUGAAAUCCCCGGGCUCAACCUGGGAAUUGCAUUGGAGACUGCAAGGCUAGAAUCUGGCAGAGGGGGGUAGAAUUCCACGUGUAGCAGUGAAAUGCGUAGAUAUGUGGAGGAACACCGAUGGCGAAGGCAGCCCCCUGGGUCAAGAUUGACGCUCAUGCACGAAAGCGUGGGGAGCAAACAGGAUUAGAUACCCUGGUAGUCCACGCCCUAAACGAUGUCUACUAGUUGUCGGGUCUUAAUUGACUUGGUAACGCAGCUAACGCGUGAAGUAGACCGCCUGGGGAGUACGGUCGCAAGAUUAAAACUCAAAUGAAAUUGACGG